CUUUAUUGGAGAGUUUGAUCCUGGCUCAGGACGAACGCUGGCGGCAUGCCUAAUAC
rnacentral:rRNA from 1 species